rnacentral:rRNA from 1 species
UACGUAGGGUCCGAGCGUUGUCCGGAGUUACUGGGCGUAAAGGGCGCGCAGGCGGCGGUGCUGGCCCGGCGUGAAAGCCCCCGGCUCAACCGGGGAGGGUCGUCGGGGACCGCACCGCUUGAGGGCGGUAGGGGCCGGUGGAAUGCCUGGUGUAGUGGUGAAAUGCGUAGAGAUCAGGCAGACCACGUGGGGGGAAGGCGGCCGGCUGGGCCGACCCUGACGCUGAGGCGCGAAGGCGUGGGGAGCGAACGGG